UGGAUAGAUGCUACACACAGCUCAGCCCAGC
rnacentral:piRNA from 2 species